GGGUCUGGUUGUUCUGGGUCCUGUGCCGGUACCAUAUGAAUUUUAGGAUCCGCUCGUUGGUUUCUAGAAAAAGCCAGUGGUGGUUCUGACAGGGGUUGCAUCGAAUCUGCAGACCAUUGAAUCUGCAGCUGGGAAACAUUGUCAUCCUGACGAUACUGUCUUCCAAUGGUGAACAUGCGGUGUUUUCCCAUGUAUUUAGGUCUUUAAUUCCUUCCGAUAAUAAAACCAUGGGUCUUUUCGAAAGCCACUUGAGUGCAUCAGAACAGCUGAUCUUCUCAGAGUGCCUGCUCUACCAACUCCCUGCGAGAGCAAAGUGCAGAGGCCCCACCCCGUCCAGCAGUUUGGCGGAGGGGAGCAGGGAGAAGGCAGCUGCCCACAAGCCAGGAAGAGGGCCCUCACCAAUAACCACACCUGUCGGCACCUUGUUCUUAGACACCCAGCCUCCAGAACUGCUGAAACAAGAAUGCAGUCAAAGGAACCUGUCAGUGACAGGAGAAAAAGAGCUGCAAGCCAAAACAUGCAAAACCAGCCUUUCAUUGAGGAGAAAAUGAAAAAUACAGAAUGAAAUGAAGGGGAGUCUCAAGAACUUGCAGGAGCCGAGCUUCCUGUGCAAAUGAGAAGCCCCGGGGCAGAUGGCGCCCUCGUUAUCCUCGUUAUCGUCGGUGCCCAUGCUGGUGGAUGCAGACCGGCCGCAGUGCAGAGGGUCCGCUUUCCCGCUGCCGUGGACCCGGAACCGCUUGGCGGCAUCCCAGGUGGGCCUGGGAGGGCACAGAACACAGCAGAAUCAGACGCGGGAAGGAGCGACACAUCGCAACAGAAGGUUUGUGCUUUUGUGUGUGUGUGUGUGUGUGUGUGUGUGUGUGUAGACACCCUAAUCUCCAAAUGAAAUCGUAACAGUUGUGUUGUAAGCCUGUGAUAAAAUAGCACAAAGGUUCUUUAAAGAAGUCCACUUUUAAGGCAUCAGAGAAGUUAAUGUGGCAAACAUUUUAAUUAAAACAUCAGAAGUAAAUUUUAUUUUAAACUUUAGGCCUCUGAAUUUUUCCAGUAAACACAGUUCAGCUAUGUGGCAAAGUCGUGGGUGGCAGCUAAAAUGACUUUUUACAUUCUACAGAAAAAUAAGGACACAGCCCCAAACGGUGUCCCCUCUUCACGGCUGUUCCACAUGCACGAAAUCUACUAGGAUUUUCACAGCCGAGUGGCACCGUUUUUGUGUUGACUAUACAACAACCUUUGUUUUCAAAAGUAUUUGUUCAGAUAACUUAAAAAUAAUAUAAAAAUAAACAAUGAAUUUGACUUUUCCUCAAAAUAAAAAAGAAGAAAGAAAAAAAAAAAAAAAAGGAUGGGAAGUCUAAAGAAAAGCAAAUCUUUGAAGUACAAAUGAAAUUCCAGGACACCGGUUCACUUUAACAAAGCAGAUCAGAGAGACAGCUCUUGGCUUAACGGUGUUCCUAACACCGGGCCAUGAUCAAAAACCGAUACAGACAGGAAAAAGAAAAUGGCGGUAAAAGCAAUGUACAAAAUCUCAAAGAUAAAUACAAUAUUUAUAAUCGAUAUGUUACAAAAGAAAGUCCCUUAGCAACUGUAAGUGUUCAUGGAAAAGUGUUGAAUGGAGACCAUUUUAUUCCUUAUGAGACACAUAAGGAAGAAAACGUGUUUUUUCUAAAUAUUUAAGUGGAUCUGAAAAAAAUUCAAGACAAGUGUAUAAAUAUUUAGCUACAACUUUGGCAAAAUCACAAAAGUCUACAAUUUUAUAACCACAUACAAAACACAUUAGGGAAGAAGGAGCUAGAAGUCAAAAGGACAACUUCUGGUACAAGAAACAUGGACCUCACAGUAGCCUAAGAAUGCAAUAGUAUACAGUGCUAGCAAAAGUUGAAAAAAUGUUGCAGAUCACACUUGCUUAACAGGAAGUUCUAGCGGUGGGAGAAGAUUUCAACCAACAGACAGUAGCAUUUUUUUUUUUCUGUCAGUGUGCUUGUUGAAGGCAAGAGAAUUCAAUAUCAAAGUUACAAUUUCUAACUACAAUAAGUUACAAAGUUUCAUUUCAUUAAGAUGAAGGUAAGCAAUGAUAAACCCUCCCUCCCUCCCUGCCACCCGAAUUCAAGUCCUCCUUCCUUCCAGUUCGAUGGCUCACGCCUCCUUGGCCCCCUUUUUUUUUUUUUUUUUCACCACAAAAAAAUAUUUCACAUUAUAGAGAUACACAACCAUUGUGAAUCUAAGUAUGAGCACAGAAAAAUGGUUGGAGGCAUUUUUCAUCAGUGUUUCAUGAUAAUCAAAAUGGUGCAUUCACAAAGUUUCUCCCAACACAUAGCAAGUACUAGACAUAGCCAAGACGGAGUCAGAAACUUUAUACAAAAUAGGCGUCACUUUGUUUUCCUUAGUCUUCAGAUCUGAGAAAUGUGAAAAUAUGAGAAAAGUUCAGUCAAUAAAAUGGAAUUGUUCAUGAAGAA